rnacentral:tRNA from 1 species
GGGCCUAUGGUCUAGUGGCUAUGACUACUCGCUUACACCGAGUCGAUCCCCGGUUCGAGAAAGUCACUGUGUUCGUUCA